AUUGAACGCUGGCGGCAGGCCUAACACAUGCAAGUCGAGCGAGCGGCGGACGGGUGAGUAAUGUAUGGGGACUGCCCGAUAGAGGGGGAUAACUACUGGAAACGGUAGCUAAUACCGCAUACUAUCGGAUAACCCAUAUGGGAUUAGCUAGUAGGUGGGGUAAUGGCUCACCUAGGCGACGAUCCCUGGCUGGUCUGAGAGGAUGAUCGGCCACACUGGGACUGAGACACGGCCCAGACUGCUACGGAGGGAGCAGUGGGGAAUAUUGCACAAUGGGCGCAAACCUGAUGCAGCGACGCCGCGUGGGGGAUGAAGGCUUUCGGGUUUUAAACCUCUGUGGCUAUCGAACGGGUAGGUGGAGAAGAAGCGCCGGCUAACUACGUGCCAGCAGCCGCGGUAAUAC
rnacentral:rRNA from 1 species